rnacentral:rRNA from 1 species
UACAUGUGGGGCAAGCGUUGUUCGGAAUUACUGGGCAUAAAGGGUGCGUAGGUGGCUUGUUAAGUCAGGGGUGAAAGUUUUCGGCCCAACCGGAAAAUGGCCUUUGAUACUGGCGAGCUCGAGUGCGUGAGGGGUAACCGGAACGAGCAGUGUAGUGGUGAAAUGCGUAGAUAUUGCUCGGAAGGCCAACGGCGAAGGCAGGUUACUGGUACGCAACUGACACUGAGGCACGAAAGCGUGGGGAGCAAACAGG